CUCAGAACGAACGCUGGCGGCAGGCCUAACACAUGCAAGUCGAACGAUGUAGCAAUACAUAGUGGCGCACGGGUGAGUAACGCGUGGGAAUGUACCAUUUAGUGGGGAAUAACUUCGGGAAACUGAAGCUAAUACCGCAUACGCCCUUCGGGGGAAAGAUUUAUCGCUAAAUGAUCAGCCCGCGUGAGAUUAGAUAGUUGGUGGGGUAACGGCCUACCAAGUCUACGAUCUCUAGCUGGUCUGAGAGGAUGAUCAGCCACACUGGAACUGAGACACGGUCCAGACUCCUACGGGAGGCAGCAGUGGGGAAUAUUGGGCAAUGGACGAAAGUCUGACCCAGCCAUGCCGCGUGAAUGAUGAAGGCCUUAGGGUUGUAAAGUUCUUUCGCCGAUGAAGAUAAUGACGGUAGUCGGAGAAGAAGCCCCGGCUAACUUCGUGCCAGCAGCCGCGGUAAUACGAAGGGGGCUAGCGUUGUUCGGAAUUACUGGGCGUAAAGCGAGCGUAGGUUGCUCGACAAGUCAGUGGUGAAAGCCCAAGGCUCAACCUUGGAACUGCCAUUGAAACUGUCGAGCUGGAAUCUUAGAGGGGGUAGCGGAAUUCCAAAUGUAGGGGUGAAAUCCGUAGAUAUUUGGAGGAACACCGGUGGCGAAGGCGGCUACCUGGCUAAGUAUUGACACUGAGGCUCGAAAGCGUGGGGAUCAAACAGGAUUAGAUACCCUGGUAGUCCACGCUGUAAACGAUGGAUGCUAGUUGUUGGGGGGUUCCCCCUCAGUGACGUAGCUAACGCGUUAAG
rnacentral:rRNA from 1 species